UGUCAAUAAUGCCUUCAGAAGUCUUCAUUUGCAAUCCUAUUAUGAGCAAUAGCAAAGAGAUCAUCUAGAGAAUUUAAAAAUAUUAUUUAAUAAAAUAUGUGAAUGCAUGUAUUACCUCAGUCUUAAAGCAUCAAUUUCUGGAACACCAAUGGGGUCAAAGACAAUUUUGGAAAUCCCAUCAAUGUUAGUAACCCUCUUAAGUCGGCCUUAUUAUGAAAUAUGAAAAAUAUUAGCAAAAUAUACAUAUAAUAUCAGCUCCUAUUAAUCUAUUGUAUAUACAAUAAAUACAAUAGAUUAUCUUGUCUCCAAUUAAUUUGCCAACACUGUAAAACACAUAAUACUAUGUCUGCAUCUAUAGAAUUCCAUAAAUCAUUGAAAACAUGAGCAAGUGCACCAUAAGCGACACACUUAAUGACGACGUUACUGUAAAACAAAAAAAGAAGGGUUCAAACCAUGUGAUACUAUACAAAUGUAUAUCUUUCUUUUUACAGAUAUUGAAUACUUACAGGAUGUGUAGUACAAAAAAAUGGAUUUUGUGGUCGAUGAUACCAUUAUUUCCGUUCGUAGGUUCCAUCAUAUAUUCUUCAAGAAAUCCUACUCCUAUCACUUGACCAUAAAUAUCUAAUGGAUAGGCAAAAAGAUUUACACAUAUUUAGAUACUGCCUAUUAUCAAUAUGAACACAUUCAUCGAUUAUUUCGCUGCUCUAAAUUUUCAUUUAAUUAUAUAGAAGAGAAAACAUACCAAUAGGAAACUUAGGAUGAUGUAAGCCGCGGUAGAGAUCAUCCCAGUUUCGAAAACAAUAAAAGCUGGAAUGUUUUAUAGGAUCGAUCUUCAAAAUGACAGAGGAGUUAGUGAGGUUAAUAUUGUAUCGGUUCCUUGUCAAUCGAACACGCUCUGCUAUGACAUGGGAUAGCUCGAAAUCUUUAAUUUCAUAGGAGUGAUGAUGUGUUGUGAUUUUGCAUAGUUUUAGCUUUGUAAUUUCAUAUAUAUUCAUGCAUUAACCUUACAUUUAUUUGCAUUUAGAAUCUAUUGCAUGUACAUUUGCAUCUUGUAGGUGUUGGAUGAAUUGUUUGGAGUUUUGGAGGUGAUUAGAGCACAAAAGGAGCUUUCGAGGAGUCUUGAACCGAACGUGUGAAAGACAAGCAUGUAUGAAGGUCUUAAAGAUAUCUUUUGAAACUUGUCUUUUGGCAAGACAUGGUAAAUUGAGUUAGCUUUACAAUGGAGGUGGUUUCAAGUCGUUUGGAGCUGUAUUGAGGGAUUUAUGAUCAAAAUACUACACACAUAUCAGUGUGUGCAACAUGGAGAAAGUGGAGAAAACUUUAAUGAGUGAGUUUUAUCUCUUUAAAGCUUGCAACAUGGGGGAUGGGUUGUCUAUCAUGAGUUUGGUGGCUCUUUUGGCCUAACUUUCUCUACCUUUUCUGAAGAGGCAAGACUACUUUGGCCAUAUGAAGGGGCAAAAGGUGUUCUAUAAUGGAAGAAAGUGGAGAAUAACUUUUAUGAGUGUGUUUUAUGCUUUAUGCUUUCACAUGAUGGAUGUGUUGUCAUCCUCCUUUACUUAGGCUAUAAAAGAGACUGCAAGGGGAAGGAGGAAGACACAAUACACAGAGUACAAUACAACAAAGAGUAGAGAGUGAAAGUUUUAUAGUUUCAUAUUUUGUAUUUUGAGAGUUUGAGAGAAAACAUUUGUUCUUGGAGUGUUCUUGAAAUUUAUGUUAUAAAGUCUUGUUUUCCUUUAGCCAUUCUCUUCAUCUAAUUUCUGUUUCUUGUUUUCAUAUAUCAUAUCAUCUUGGUUAUGCUUCUAUCCAUCAUGGGAUUAAGUGUAAACAAGAUGAUUAGUGAGUAAUCACCCUUAGGAUCAAUGGGUUAGGUAGAUUAAUGGGUGAUUAGGGAAGAGUUAAGAUGUUCUAAUGGUUAAAUGCUUAGAUUUCUAUGCUUACUAAGUAUUCUUAAUGCUAGAUUAAUUUUGGCCAUUUUAAUCUAGAUUCUAAGUGUUUGUAGGGCAUCGAAAGUGUUUGCAUAAUGCUUGAAUGAACCUAGUAAAGCUCUAGCUUGAAUAACCAAGGAAUUGUUGUUAGGAUUGCUAGAUGGUUAGUAGACUAGAACUUAAUGUAUGUUUGAGUGAACAAAACGAACGGAAGUUGAUGUUUAGUUCAUAAUUGCAUAAGGGUUUCUACCACGGGAGUGGAUUAAUCUAAAUUGAAUGAAAUCUAGACCUAUAGAAAGUUAAGAUUAUUUGAAGUUAGACGCCUUGAUUUAGAACUAUCACCUUGAAAUCAAUUGCCUAAAUACCCAUUGGUUCUUCUUUGUUAUAUUUGAAUUAAAACUCAAGUUAUUUCGCACUAUUACUUGUUACAAACAAACAUCAUUUGAUUGCACUUAGAUUGAGAUAAAUGGCUUGCAUUCUUAGUGCUUAGAAUCACUAGAGAUUGGAUUGACAUCUUAAGUACUACAACACUUAAGGAUUAAACUUAUCCUUUAUCAAGUGACCUUCCUCCAAUGGCAUAUCAGCUGAAGCCUCCAAAUCUCUAACCAAAGUGGCUUGAAUUGUAUUUCCCUAUGUGAAACACGUUGAAAUGUAUUAGUAUCUUUCUAAACGAAACGUAAAAUAUAACUGUAAUGAGAUGAAAAUGACCACAGCUUACCUUCUCGUCUCCAAUAAUCAGAACGGUUUUUUGGAACCCUGAUCCGGCAACAGUCGGCCCCUUGCAGAUGACCUUAACACGAACUGGAAGCAAAGGUUUGUCAAGACUCAGCUCUGAAACUAAUCUAUGAGUACCCAUGGCAAUAGAAAUUUAAGAAAAUGAGAUAACGUUUAACACAAACGAUGUCAUGAAUAAGAAAGUGUAGUAUAUAUAUUGUUAAGAAUUACUAUACAAUAAGGAAAUACAAUGAAUAGGUGUAGGUAUUAAUUGAGACGUGCAUCACGCGGGAUUGAUACAUUUUAUUUCCAUAAAUUGUAUAUCGUGAUUGUUAAAAUCACCACGUAAAUGAUCGGUAAUAUAUGGUAAAUAAAUAUUGUAAAUAUAGAAAGCGUAUUUAUACACAUUUGAAAGAUAUUUUCCUUAACAGAUAAGGGCAAUAAAUCGAUAUAUUCAAUACUUCUAACCAAAAGUGGUAAUAGGAAAUAGCAGUAACUGUGAAUCCUAGUGACAUUAAUACUAUUCAUUAAAAUAUAUUAUACGAAUCAAUGAUAUGAUAUGAAA